rnacentral:rRNA from 1 species
GAUAAGGUUAAGUGAAUAAGGGCGCACGGUGGAUGCCUUGGCACUAGGAGCCGAUGAAGGACGGGACUAACACCGAUAUGCUUUGGGGAGCUGUACGUAAGCUAUGAUCCAGAGAUUUCCGAAUGGGGGAACCCAGCAUCUUUAAUAGGAUGUUACGAUUGUGUGAAUACAUAGCACAUUCGAGGUAGACGCAGAGAACUGAAACAUCUAAGUACCUGCAGGAAGAGAAAGAAAAUUCGAUUCCCUGAGUAGCGGCGAGCGAAACGGGAAAAGCCCAAACCAGCAAGCUUGCUUGUUGGGGUUGUAGGACUCCAAUAUGGUAGUUCUUUCAGAUAGUCGAAUGACUUGGAAAAGUCAGUCAAAGAGGGUAAAAACCCCGUAGACGAAAUGUGGAAG